AACCGGGAUUAGAUACCCUGGUAGUCCAUGCCGUAAACGUUGGGCACUAGGUGUGGGGGACAUUCCACGUUUUCCGCGCCGUAGCUAACGCAUUAAGUGCCCCGCCUGGGGUGUACGGCCGCAAGGCUAAAACUCAAAGGAAUUGACGGGGGCCCGCACAAGCGGCGGAGCAUGCGGAUUAAUUCGAUGCAACGCGAAGAACCUUACCAAGGCUUGACAUAUACCGGAUCGUUCCAGAGAUGGUUCUUCCCCUUUGGGGUCGGUAUACAGGUGGUGCAUGGUUGUCGUCAGCUCGUGUCGUGAGAUGUUGGGUUAAGUCCCGCAACGAGCGCAACCCUCGUUCCAUGUUGCCUGCACGUGAUGGUGGGGACUCAUGGGAGACUGCCGGGGUCAACUCGGAGGAAGGUGGGGAUGACGUCAAAUCAUCAUGCCCCUUAUGUCUUGGGCUUCACGCAUGCUACAAUGGCCGGUACAAAGGGUUGCGAUACUGUGAGGUGGAGCUAAUCCCAAAAAGCCGGUCUCAGUUCGGAUUGAGGUCUGCAACUCGACCUCAUGAAGUCGGAGUCGCUAGUAAUCGCAGAUCAGCGACGCUGCGGUGAAUACGUUCCCGGGCCUUGUACACACCGCCCGUCAAGUCACGAAAGUCGGUAACACCCGAAGCCGGUGGCCCAACCCUUGUGGAGGGAGCCGUCGAAGGUGGGACUGGCGAUUGGGACUAAGUCGUAACAAGGUAGCCGUAAAU
rnacentral:rRNA from 1 species